AUAUAUAUAUAUAUAUAUAUAUAUAUACACACACACACACACACGUUGGCGCACGCUGCCACCUCACACGCACAUUUGCUCUUAUCACACACACUCGCAGACACAGUGGGAAUUGAUGUUAUACAGAGGAAGUGUGUGAGAGACAGUCGACAGCCGUCAUUUGGCUGGUGCGAGUCUAUGUGUGAGAGAGACUCGCUAACCGUGUUCUUGCUCUGUCUUCCCGCUAUCUCACCGCCGUGUGUCUCAUUCUGCUCUUUGAUAAAGGAAAAGAGGUGGAAGGGGAAAGAAAUGUAAGGAAAGUUGAGGGCUAGAGUCAGUGGGGAUGGGAGCAGGAUGCUGGGAUGGAGCAUGCAGCCGUCGGAGACAGAUGCAUUCCGAGGCGAAAUCUGCCAAUGUGAUGGUUGGUAAGAGGGAGACGAGCGCGGUGUGCGAUGCGCUGCCAGGGAAAAUGAGCUAGGCUCUGGCAAAUCUGCAGGAAUGGACAGUAGUGGGAUGGAUAAAUGGAGAAAUAAUGGAGUGAAGAAAGACACUGAAAGGUAAAGAGACGAGAUAGGAGUGUUUGAGGAAUGAGAGAUGACAGGCAAGAUGGAAGCAGGAAAAAAAAUUGCGUGUCUUGAGUAAAUAAAAAAAAUUGCAGUUGGCAGCAGUGGAAAUUGUUUUAAAUCAAGUUAUGGAGUUAUAAAGACAAAAAAAUUGUAUAUGAAUGAAACUAAAUUUAAAUUGUUAUUGCAUAAACCUGAAUAAAUGUAGUGCAUUUACAGCAAUGUGCAAAUAUCAAAGUUUAUUUAGAGGUGCAUUUAGGCAGAUAUUAAAAAUACAUUUUAAGAUUGUUUUUCGAUAUAAACAGAAGGAUUUUUAGUUUUUAUGCACGUGUGGCUUUAGAGGAGCUUUAGUGUCUUGUGGGGCAGAUUUAUUGAGUUCACCCCUAGAAACCAACACGCUCACAGUCAGACUGUAAUCAUCAGAUCGGCUCAGAUAUCAAAAGGCAGUGUCUGUCUGAAAGAUUAGAACAACCAUCUGUCUGCCAUGUGGAAAGCCUCCGAUUAUCAAUAAACUUCACACGCGCUUGUACGUGCGUGUGUGUGUUUGAUCCAGCCACCAGGAUGUGAUGUAAACGGGAGAAACAGAAGCACAGAAUAGACAAGAUUAACGACGGGAACAAAGAAUUAUCCUGUUGUGACCUUAAUGCUAUUAUUAGAUAAUUUAUUCUGCCAUUCAUUUGUUUAAGCUGGAACAUGUAAAGUACUUUGAUAAGAAAUAAACAAAUUUUAAGGACCAUACACAAAAGCCAGGAAAUGACUAGUGGCCAAGCGUAAUGUAAAAUCAGUACACAGCCAUUGAUCUUUCUCUAUUGAACACCUGUGUUUACUGUUGCCACUUCCCCUGUAUUUACUCUGACUAUAUUUGCAGUAUAACCGCAGCACAUAAUGGACUGAGGAGCUGGGUCAGCGACUGCUGCACUUCUCAGAGAAUGGAUCCUUGUUUCAGCUCCACGAACGCGUGCCAGUAGAACCGAAGCUCAUGUUUGCUGCCCUACAGCAGGUCAUUUCAAGCACAUUGGAGGGAGAGCUGCCGUCUGUGGCUUCCCUGUUCUGUACAACAGGUACCCACAAAGGGAAAGUAAAAUAAUACACCUGAUAAAAUGAGAGGGAGAGAGUAAAGUCUGCACACACCUCAACACUACUGUAAGACACAUGUAGUCCCCAAAUUCUUCUCCUCCACUAUGCUUUUCAUGGUGGGCCAGCAAUUAUGCUCCAUGCUGGUUGGCCACACACACACUCACUCACUUACUUACUGUAUAUUCAUUCAUAAUUUCUUUCUGGUCAAGCAAGGUCGUUUCACUGCUUCUGGUCAAGUCAUCUUUGCUGCCUGGUGAUCAAGGUUACUUUCUUCCAUCAUAAUUCAAAUUAAACCCGCUGCUCGAAUCGUCGGCGGCUUUUAAAUCCACUAAUAUCUGUGCUCUCACAUGGAAAUCUAGCACAUAGCUGAUUCAUUUAUAUGUAUGAAGGCGAGAUCAGACAGAGACACGUGUAGAAUUAAUUUGCUACACAAGCGCACCCAUGCACACUCGCACCGCUCGCCUCGUGAGGACCUGUAAAUUCUUUAACCCAUGCACCAUUUCCCUUAUUUCUUGGUUCACAUUUGCCACUGGUCCUCACGAAACUUAUCAAUUCAUGCAGCACUCUUUGCUCGCAGAUUUUCACCUCACUCACAGGUAACCAGUGCUUUCAUGGCAGCAGGUGGCCUCGUGUGAGCGUCCAAACACAACAAUACAGGUUGCCAAAGCUUUCCAUUUCAGCGGGUGGUCAGCAAGUAAUGGCACUGAUGGCUGAACAUUGGACACUCAGACAGAAAGCAGGGUUAUCUUCCAAAACAACACAAAAAGGGCCAAAGGGGAGACGAGAGAGGAAACCUCAAAGGGAACAUUAAAAAGUCAUUUGCUGUGUGUCUUUGAAUGCCUCACUCUCGAUUUCCCUGCUUUUUAUCCAUAUGUCACCCACACGCGUUCUCCGCCCACGCCGACAGCCUGGCACGCCAUGUUAAUUACUAAUGUCUUUCAAGUUUUCAUUUCCUCCUCAUGAGGGAAAUUACAUUUGUUUUCCUCGUUGAGUCAAGAUGACACGGAAAACAAAGAGGAAAGGGUAAAUUAGAAGUUAGACUGUUUCAGCUUGUACAACAACAGACAAGCUAAUUAUUCAGGAAGAGACAAAUUGACAAUGAGUUGUCAAAUGUCAAAGAAUGUAGAUGAUUUGGCCUCAGUUGUUUUGCUCCCAUCAAGGACGCAGGCACAGGAUCAUAGUUUUUGUCUUUAGACAAGGAAGCAAGUCCUUGAUAUCGCACCGCUGAACACGCGGUGAUGUGUAAAUGCAAAGUUUUCCUGUUGUUGUGUUGCUUCAUCUCACUUUACUUCUGCAACGGCAGCCGUCAAUGUGACGUCACAACUCGAGGCUGAAGAUGAUGUGACAUAAACGCAGUGAACGCUUCAUUACGCUAAAGAGCGUUCUGCUCAGUUUUUGUUCGUAUGAGUAUGGUAAUAUUCCUUCCAAACCUCCCUGCCUUCCGGGCGCCACAGUUGCCGCAGAGCCUGUCAUUUAUAUUAAUGGUAUUAAUUGAUGGCGGCUGGGAGCUGCCCAGCGAGUCCACGGGCAUGUCGUUUUGCCCCGUGAGCAGCUCCAGCUGAAGCGCUGGGGGUCAAAUGGCACCUGAUGCAUUUUGCUGAAGGGGAGGAAAACAUGACUCCUUCAGCCUCUUUGUGCAUGUGGACUUUUUGGUCUGAAACGCGAACGGUCGGGCUCUGGGCCAUUACUGUGGCUUUGGGGGGUUCACCAUUGGCCCACCUUGGCUGCUGUAAAGCAUCACUUCCCUACUCGGAUUUGAGGCUCAACACUUUGAUGGAUUCAUCUUUCAGCUUUUAGCAGACACGUCUUUGUUCACCCUGUUUCCUAGUCCAUCGCCUCCUCACUUCCUCCUUCCUUGGGCCUCUUCUUACUCCUUUUAUGCUUUUUGUGUUAUUCUCAGAUUGAGGGAUCCGGGCAGGGUCCUCCAGUGUCUGUGCGCUGGCUUCUGCAGGGAAUCAUUAAGCUUUCUCUAGAGGGAAACAGAUAAAAGAGACCGCCUACAGUACCUUCUCCAUUCAUUUAUUUCUAACUAGUUUUUCACCAGAGGCCUGAAAAGUGGAGAGUGAGCAGAUGAAUGGACAGUUGAUUCUUGCUUCCAGUCUUUUAGCUACGCUCUCUCUUUAUGGCUUGCGUUGCAGCGGCAACAUAUCACUAUCCUGUUUUAGGUUUUUCCCCAGAGGUAAAAUGAGACGUCUGUUUUUCUCUAAGUGCCUUUAUCAUUAACUGAGAUCUUUAUGUCUUUUCAAUAAAGCUUCCUAGGACAAAAGAAAAUGUUUGUUUUUCUCCUGCAGCUCCAUCAGUCACGGAUCACGUCAGUUUAACGUGACCAUUUACCACCUUUUAUAUUUAUGUUGCUAUUUUCCCACUCGCCUCUGCAAGCACAUUUCAAGGCAGGGAUGUGUAGGAUCCAUAGUCCCGUGUCCCUGAAAUGGCUACUGGCUGCCUGCAUGUGGGUCACCUUGUACCAGAGGAUCGCCACACGUGCACACACACACGAGCACUUGGAAUCAGUGGCUGCUUGGAAUCGGUGCAUUUGUACGGUUUUAAAAAUAACUGUAAAAGAAUUCAAGCUUUGUUUUGUUUUGUUUUGUCUCUCUACGUGUGUUGAAACAGCAGCUUCUGUAGCAGCACAGUCUCCACCUGAUGUAGCUGCUCUAACCUGAUAUCCCAUUAAAGCAACUAAGAUGUUUGUGGGAACUGAAUCAACAUUUUCAAAACACAGUCACAGGACAGUAGAUGGUUCUGGUUCUGGUUCUGUUCUACAACAGAAAGGUGGGGGGUCUGUUUGCUCUCGCCAGUUGAGGCCGCUUAUUUGUGCUGCACAUUUUCCUGCCUUUUGUCCUCUUAUUUCCUGUUUUUCAUUUCUGUCCCAGGGAAAAUUCAGACUUGUUAUUAAGAAACUAUGAACAAAGACAUCAGUUAUUUAUGACGGGAAACAUUUGGAAUUGUUCAGUUCUGUAUAUUUAUUAUUAGUGGAGUAAAAUGUUUGGGAUUUGGCUUCACCUAAUUAUCGUAUGAAAGCAAGACACAUGCACGCAAGCAAGAGCUGCAGGCUUCAAAUAGUGUGAUAAGAAACCUUUUGUAAUUUGUUAUAAUGCUUUUUGCAUCAUAUUUCAUCAUUACAUUUGGGCAAAGCGUAUGCAGCCUGCAGUCCCGGUCCCAAGCCAGAAUCGAACUGAUACCUGUGGUUUUGUGGGACGUGCUUCAACCACUGAGUGGUGGGGCAAAAUAUGCAUUUUUAAUAGUGCUUAGCAGUUUUAAAGUGGUGUAGAAAUACUGUACUGCUCUCAGCUUAUCAGAGGAGCAAACUGAGAGGGUAUCACUGGUACAAUCACAAGAGUUACGGCGUUGUUGCUGUAGUUUUUGCUCAUUAAUUUGAGGAUCCAUCUGUCACACUUUUUAUUUGCUAAAUCCUUUAAUUACUGCUGAUGAAAGAGCAAAUUUCCUCACAGUGUUGCCAACUUUUGUGUUUUUCUUAUAUUUGACUUUUUAAACCUGUUAAGAGACUUUUUUCCCUAUUUGAGAGGAGCAGCAAUUAUUGUAUUUCUCAGUGAAUGGAUGUUUAUGAGGAGAUGGCUCCUUCCUCCAAAUCCAAAUCCACCUUUUGCUACUUAUUCUGAAAAAAAGAUUGGAUAAAUUCAGGGCGCCAACGCAGACACGUACCAAGUCAGCCCAAAGUAUUUGAUGCAACGCUAUUGCACGUGUGAACCUACAGUAGAACAGCUGCUCUAAUCAGCAGCCUACCUGCCAAUACUCGCAUUCCUUUCACUGCUUGUGUUAAGCACAUUAACUACCAGACUGUGUUGGAAGGCAGAGACUGUGAUUAAGAGCUUUGCGGUGCUCGUUUUAAAUGUGGCGACGUCGCAGGUAGAGAGAACAGGUGAUGUGUUCAGGGCAACACCGGGUUUCAAUUAAAGGCAUUACAGUGAUUAUGUGUAAUACAGUGGAACAGCAGGUGGAGGAGUAGCAUAGCGUGUGUAUUUGCCAGUGAUGCAUAUAAUGUGGGCAGACUUUGCCAGUUGAACAAGGUGGUCCAUGAAGCAUAUGCCUUGCACUUAAGAUUAAUUUGCAGCAUCAAGACUAAGCCUCUAAUUUUAUGAACAAGCUACAUCAGCAAAGUGUGAGCGUGUCAGUUUUCAUAGUCUUUUAAUGGCACUCGUCUUGACGCGCGUCUCCCCCGUGUGCGUCUCUGUUCUCGGCCAUCUGACACGGGGAACGUGCCUUUCCAGCAUCUUUUCUCCUGUCCUGCCUCCUUUUUUAGUCUUCCUACCCCUUCUCCUGUGUGUGAUGGCUGAAGAUGAAAGUCUGAGAGUCCGGGGAGAACACCAUGAGCUGGCUUCAAAUCCUCCACGCUAUGAAGACUUGUUAUUUGCCUCUGUCUACCAAGCCAUCAGAAAACCACCCUCCUCUGCCUGUAUCAGAAAAUGAAAGCUGUCUGUGUCUGGGCUAUUUGCAUUCCAUUUGCAUGUGAACCCCAACUGGCUGAUUUUGGAAUGCCAAGAGGCUAAAUUCAGUAUUUAUUACCCGGGACCAUAACUAGUUUUCACUUUUCUCUAGCAUUUGCAUGUGAUUUGCAUUUCCCUCAGCUUGGAUCUGGGAAUAAGGGGCCAAAUGACCUAAAUUGUUACAAUUCCACCUAGAAAUAAAAAAAAAAAAGCACAGGAAGGUCUAAUUAUUACUAUUAAUCGAAUUACGCUCUACACGUGGAGCGUAAAUAUGCGCAAAGGGUCAUUAGCUACAAUAGCAAGCAGAGGAAACGAGCUCUUAAUGCAGAUUGCUUUAGACAAUCAAGUUGUGUGUGUGUGUGUGUGUGUGGGGGGUUUGUAGGCUUGUACGUUUCAUCUCCCAAAGGAUCAUUCUGUUUUUUAGGUUAAAAAAGGUUAAAGACACAGACCUAAUUAGUCAUAGAAGCUAAUCUGCAUUGCAUUGUACUAUAAACUGUUUAUGAUCAAGUGCAUUAAUGUCAGGAAUUUGCUCAGCUUGCACUUCGCAGGUCGUCUGUCAAGCACAUUGAGAACGGUUAUGUGCUAGAGUGGAACAGGAAAUGGAGAAACGGCUUGAGGUGGGGUCACUCAGGCACCUGAGCAGUCACAGGUCUUCACAUCUUUAGAAACUCUGACUGAGGCUGUGUAUGAGGAAGUCACGGGCAGAACAGAGCUGGUGAAGGUUAUUGAGCACAUCUGCUGCACGUGUGAACAUCUAGUUCAGUGAGCAACAAGUCCAGAAAGCCACUGCCACCAGAGCCGCCUUUCUGCUCUAAUGACCUCGGAUGAGAAGCCCGCAGACUAAUGCCUUCACUUCAGCUAAAGCUCCAGCGCCAUCUGCCUCGUUUCUCUUUCACUUUGUGUUUACUUUUUCCCACGACAGGUGAGGUUGCGCGUCCAGGUGGCUCCGGCUUUUCAUUCUUUACUUUUCUCCCUUCUUUGUCUUCUACCAGGUGACAGGCGGGAGACGCACAAUUAAAACACACACGUUUCUUCAUCUCUGCAAGUCUGCUAACACACUCUUUGUGUACACGGCAAAUUGAUGCUCACUCUUCCCAUGACCUAUUUUUAACUUCAAACCCAACCCGUAUACACACACACAGGCAGACACCUCAUUGAAUAUAAACGGCCAUCUCCUAGGGCAAACAGCAAAUAUAAUCACAUUUGUAAUGUCAAAGAAAUAGUGCGUCAAUAUUUGCCUGGGCUGUUAUUGUUGUGAAAUAGGGAACUGUGGUUACCAUGGUGUGUGUGAUUGCGACGGUUGAUGAUGAGGCACAACAGGACUCGACUGUUCACCAGUUUUGAUAUUGUGACAAUAUUCCCCUAUACUCAUUAUUCAUAUGGAGAGAACCAAAACUCUGUCACAUGACCGUGUAUAAAUACGACAUGAGAAUUUAUUUGCACGUCAUCGUGCAAAAUGCAAAUACUUUUCCCCAUCAGUUGGUUUCUAGUUGUAUCAGGGUUAAAUUUGUAAUCAAACAUUUUGUCAAGAGUCAGUGUAGCGACAAUGAUACACAUAUUACAUAGCAGCUGUUGGUGUCUAUGGAAAAGUACAGUGUAUUCCUGGUAGUUUAUUUACUUUCAGUUUUUUUACUUUUCACUUUUUAGAGGUGAUAAUACUUCUAAUGAAUAUUGUCAAAAUGUCUACGUAGCAGAAGAGAUUGCAGCCUCUACUAUGUGUCAUCUUCUCACAGUAAAACUGUGCCUCAGAUCAUAUAAUAUAAAUAAUGUGAAAACAUCAUUAAUGCCGGGUGGUUCAUCUGUAUUUAAAGCGUGUACUCGGUGCUUCUGUGACCUCCAGCUGCUUUUUAAUGUCGCCUCUCUUUGACUUGGUGAGACGUGCAAAUCCAAUGAAUCAAAGAGUUGACGUCAAGCCUCUUUUUUUUUUUUUUAAUCUACAUAAAGUCUGGCCAUAGUAACAGGUAAAAGUGAAAUCAUUGCUAUAUUACUGUGUGUCUGGGAUAAAGAAAGACCUGAAAGAUUAGUGACUCACAGACUUUUGUGCCCUUGAAUCUAAUAAUUUCUCCCUCACUGUGUGAAAUAUCUUUAAUGCCUGCUCUCAUGAUCAUAAUGGUUUUCUGUCUGAGCUGCAGACUAGUGAUUGGCCCCAAUUACUGCGUGAACCCGAGGCUUCAAAUCAACCUAUCUAUGCAAGAAAAUCUACUGCCAGAUGUUCAUCACUGCGUUCCUCUCUCAUUCAUCUAUAUGCGGUGUGAGCCUUCGAAGCCCUGUUAUGUCAGCAGUGUUUACUUUAAAAUGUAGGAGCUCCAAAUGAAAUCCACCGGCUGACGUACACCCCCCAUGUCUUUACUCCCUCAUUUGAAUAUAGACCUGCCUCCGUUAUCUAGUUUAAUUAAUAUACGUUCAAAUUUUAGUCAGUUAUAAACAGUUGUUCGAUGAUCAGAUGAAAGGGAGACAGACUGACUCCAGCCACCACCCAUCCAUAGCCUUCAUGCUUCACUAUUAUCUCCGCUUUUUUUUGUUCUUCUUGUCUGUUCCCUGUUGCAUUUUGUUCUUACACUUCCUUUCAUGUUCUUCCCUCAAACUCGGCUCCGACUCCAGCUUCCCACCUCUCUCACCCUUGCAAGUCUCUUGAAUCGUGUUUUUUUUUUUUUUUCUUUUUUCCCCGU